rnacentral:misc_RNA from 1 species
ACCGACGGGCUCGCCGAGGAGGAUUCGCUGGCUGAAAAUGUGCAACGUGCCCCGCUAUUAGGUUCUGUGUUGCAACUGUCCUCUUAGAGUCUUCGGUCCGUCAUGGGAAUCGAUGACCUUAGCGGGGCGUUUCGAAGGAGGCACACAGACGUCCGAGUCAAGCGUUCCCGCAGCGAAGCGAGGACAACGCUUGACGCGGCGGCGACACCACAAACUAUUUGAUGGGGUGCAGGCGAAGUCCUGCACCCCUGCCACGUGGCGAACGGGGGAGCGCGAGGGGAACCCCUCGCAUUCAAAAGAGAAGAGUGCGCCGAAGGCGCUCCGCUCAAGAUAACACCCGGUUCGGAAAGCUGUCUUCUUUAUUGCUGCGCAGGGCUUUGGGUCCUGCCGAGUGUCUUGUGUCGUUUUGAGCGACGGCGAGCAAAGAGGACAGAUCGUGGUGCGGAUCAUCAGGGCGGCGAUGGGCUAUGCCGCAAUCCCGACGGGCUUUCCGAUUCUGCUGUCGGAACGGAUGGCGAUCAUCGAGCCGGCGUUUGCUUGGCUGAUAGAGCUGGCGACGAUACCCGGCCGCAGCCACGCGGCGGAAACGAUCCGCACCUAUGGCGAGCAUCUUCACGACUGGUUCGACAGCCUGGAGCAAACGGGUCUCGAUUGGCGCGGCGUGAGCGAAGCCGAGAUUGCGGCCUGGCGCAAUCGCAUGCUGUCACAGCCGAGCCCGCAUACGAAGCGGCCCUAUGCACGCUCGACCGUGAACGAUCGGGUCCGCACGGUCUGUCGGUUCUAUGCGUGGGCGCAGGAUCGCGGCUGGAUCGAGAGCCUGCCGUUCCACUUCGUCGACGUGCGCGUGGGUUCAGGCCGGCGACAAUCGUUCCUGGCGCAUGUCGACGGGCGUCCGGGGAUCGUGGCGGCGAACAUCCUGACAGUCGCCGAGCACGAGCGCUUGCCGCGACCAUUGCGUGUCGAUCAAUUGCGCCGGGUGUAUGCGCAUCUGGAGAUGCCCUACCGCCUGAUGGCGGAAUGGGGGUUGGCGACCGGAUUGCGGCGCAAGGAGCUUUGCGGCCUCGCCGUCUUCCAGGUUCCGGAGACGGCGCACCUGGACGACGAGGAUCACCCGCUGAUUGGCGUGCCGCUGACGAUCACCAAGGGUGACAAGCCGCGCACGAUCUAUCCGCCGAUCCGUCUGGUCGACCGCACGCAGCGCUAUGUCGACGAGGUUCGCACGCCGCAGGUUCGAGCUUUGCGCCGCAAUCGGCCGGGCUAUCGUCCGCCCUCGGCGCUGUUCCUCAACGCCCAGGGAUACGCCGUCAGCAAGGCGCGAUUGACGGCGGUUUUUGCCGAGGCGUUCCGCGCGGCUCGCGUGAUCGGGACAUUGCAUUACCUGAGGCACACAUUUGCGAUGACGAUGCUGGUGCGACUGCAGCGGCAGGCCAUGACCACGCCGGACCUCAAUCCGCUGAAGAUCGUGCAGAUGCUGCUGGGACACAGCUCGAUCCAGAGUACGGCAAUCUAUCUGCGCUGCGUCGAACUGAAUGCGCGGGACCUCGCCGACAGCAUCGACUAUCUCUAUGGCGAGUUGAUCCCCGAUGGCCGGUAAACGUGGGCGCAUCGACCGGCGUCUGUCGGCUGCGCCAUCGCUCGUGUUGGAACGGCCGGCCGAUAUCAUCGCGGUCUUCCGCGACGGUUGGGGCGAGGUUGUGCGGCGCUUCGACUUCCAUCCGCUCGGUUUGCCGGCGGACAUUGCGAUGCUGCUGGCGGACGCCUUCCGCAAUCAUCAUGCCGCCUCGACCCAGGAGACGCAGCGCCAUUGCUGGAUGGCGCUGCGUACGUUCGCGCGCUUCGUGGCGGAGGACGGUCUUAUCCUGUCGGUCAACGAUCUGACCAGUGUGAUGGUCGGGCGCUACAUCGCAUGGUUGGAUCGCCAGAUCGCGGGACAGACCAACCAGCCCUGGUCGAGGAGCUCGCGGGCGAAUGUGCUGAUGCAGCUUCGCCAGAUGAUCGACUGGACGAAGCGCCGACAUCCGUCCCGGCUGCCGGCGCGGAUCGACUUCCCAUGGCGGGUCUGGCCGAACCGCAACACUGAUGCUCGGCCGCGUCUUGGCGGUGAGGACCUCAAGGUCAUCCUGCGUGCGUGCUAUGAGGAAAUCGACGAGGCGUGGGAUCGCUUCGAGACCGGGCGGAAGAUUGUUGCGACAAGCGGACCGGUUGAUGGCGUCGAUCCCGAGCUUUGCGACCUGAUCCGCGCGCUCGCCGGCGUGGACGACGGAGUCGUUCCCUCACGCACGCUUGCGAUCCGCAGUGGCGUCAACAUAUCGGCGGUCAACCGCCGUGGCGGGCUUCGUCAUCUUGGCGGUUAUCUCCACCUCACCGGCGAAACAGUCGCCGCAUUCUUCAUUGCGCUGUCGAUCCAGACGGCGGGCAAUCCGGACGCAUUACGGCUGAUCACGCGCGAUUGCCAGGUGGCGCAUCCGCUCGACGAGCAUCGCAUCAUUCGUCGAGUGGGCCAAGCCGAGAGCCGGCGCCAAGAUGAAGCGCGCGCAGAGGCGAUCGUUCGACCGUCGUCGCCGCUACGCGGCGCCGAACCUGAUCGACAUGCGGGCGAGGCCGGCGGCGCUCGCACCCCGGGCCAGCCGGCAGGAUCGCGAUCGCCUGUUCCUGGUGAAAAGCGAGAAGAAGAAUACGGUCACGCUGAUCGCGGACGGGACAUUGUCGCAUGCGCUGAGGCCGUUCAUCAAACGCUCCAACGCCCGGAUCGCCAUCUGGAACAAGGCGGCGCCGGAGCGGGCGCGACCGUUCUUGCCGGAUUUUGCGGCGGUGCUGCUGCGAGGCAGCGUCGCCACCGAAUACUACAAGGCAUCCGGCGGCGACAUCGUCGCGACGCAGGGCGUGCUCAACCACGCCCGCGCCGAUACGACCGAGCUUUACAUCAAGGGGCCUCAGACGCGUCGUAUCCAGCGCGAGACCAUCGCCCGCUUGCAGGCGUUGAUGCUGGGCUGGAUCGUCGGUGCGAAGACGGACACUGAAGAUCAGGCGCAACGCGAUUGCAUUGCGCUGGCGAGCGGUGCGACGGUUCCGUUCAGCCAUGAUUGCCUCAACCCGGCUGCGGGUACGGCGCCGGGAUCGGCGGCCGGCAGAGUCUGCCGGCACUUCGGCGGAUGCCUGCGCUGCCCAGGGCUGGUCAUCCCGAUCGAUGCCGAUCACAUGGCGCGCGUUCUCCAGGCAAAGGAGGAGCUCGAGCGCACGCGUGAGCGGAUCGAUCCGCGUCGCUUCGAGCUUCUGUAUGCGUCGAGCCUGCGCAUUCUGACGGACGACAUCCUGCCUGACUUCCCGCAAUCGCUGCGCGCGGAGGCAGAACGUCGAAUGGCGGUCCUGCCACCCCUUCCGGCGCUGGAGUGAACGAUGCAAGCACUCAACGCACCCGAUCUUGCUGCCGCGACCAGACCAGCGCUUCGAAUCUCGACGCGCUCGGUGUGGUCGGAUCAGGUCUGGCAUCUCGACGGAUAUCGUCCCGGCUCCAACCGAGGCGACUUCUCGCUUGAUUGGCGUUUUGCGCUGGCCGACGACAGCCGCUUCAGCGACCCGCAAUGGGCUGACUGGCGAGAGGCGGCGAAGCUGUUCUUAUGGAGUCUGAAGCUGGACCCGCCUCCAGGCCGCCGCAACGUUCACGAGUCGACGAUCGUCUCCGUCUUCAAAACGUUGCGGGCGCUGAUCCGCUGGAUGGCGGCGCAAGGAUGUCGGCGUUUUGCCGAUCUCGACCGCGAUGCGAGCGACAGGUUCAUGGCGGCGGUAGCGCAGCGCCCCGGCAGCAAGCUGGGCGAGACAUUGAAGAGCACGACGCUGCAUACCUAUACCAAUCUGCUGACGCGCCUGUAUCUUCAAGGAGCGAAGUUCCCGGAAGUAGCGAUCGCCGAUCCGUUCCCGGGGAUUGCGCCGCCCUUCGUUCGUCGUGACCGGGGUUGGCUACCCUAUACACCGGACACAGUCGCCGUGCCGUUGGUCUCGGCGGCGCUGCGGCUGAUCGGGCAACCGGCGGACGACGUCAUCGCUUUGCAAGCGCAGGCGCAGACGGCUUAUGACGAUGCGCUUGCGCAAGGCAUCCACCAGACGAAGGCCGGCUUCAUUGUUACCGACACGAUUGCGCCGUUCGUCUUCUCGAUACUGCCUGGAGAGGAAGCUCCAUGGCAUGAAGCGCCAAUCACCAGCACCAAGCAGGUGAGGUACGUCGUCGAUCGCAUUUACGACGCCUGCUUUGUCGUGAUCGCUUAUCUGGUCGGCGCGCGAGUCUCGGAGAUCCUCGGCCU